UACGGGGGGAGCAAGCGUUGUUCGGAUUUACUGGGCGUAAGGGGCGCGUAGGCGGUCAGCACAAGUCAGUUGUGAAAUCUCCGGGCUUAACUCGGAAAGGUCAACUGAUACUGUGCGACUAGAGUGCAGAAGGGGCAACUGGAAUUCUCGGUGUAGCGGUGAAAUGCGUUGAUAUCAGAAGGAACGCCGGUGGCGAAAGCGGCGUGCUGGACCUCUUCUGACGCUGAGGCGCGAAAGCUAGGGGAGCAAACAGG
rnacentral:rRNA from 1 species